GGAGGCACCCGCCAUUUUCAACCAUUUCUAAACUGAUUCUUCAAUAACAAGAAAACCAAAUGUCUUCAUGAUCGAAGCUCAGCAUUGAGAGGGAAAUACUAACUUCAUGAAUGGAGCUGUCACUCUCACUCACACUGUCAGUACCAAAAUCAAAACCCACCUGUACAGCACAACCCUCCUCUUCCAAUUGUUCCCUUUUCUCAUUCCCCUGUACUCCUCGUACACCACCACCACGACCCAAUUCGCAGAACAAGCUCCCCAACACCUUCUCACUUCUCUACAAUGUGGAGCUUCGUUGCAGGCAUUCACCAAUACCAAAUCCCUCAGAAGAGGCCAGCAGCUCCAUGCCCACAUGACAUCCUGCGGUGUUUUGCACAACAAUACGUAUAUAAGCACCAAACUUGCUGCCUUCUACGCCAGUUGUGGGCGCAUGGCCGACGCCCAGGUAAUUUUUGAUGGAACUGUUCUUAAAAAUUCUUUUUUGUGGAGUUUCAUGAUAAGGGGGUAUGCCUGCAAAUGCGACGGAUCUUCUGUAAAAGCCCUUGUUUUGUAUCGUGAAAUGCGGAGCUUUGGACGAAAGGCGGAUAAUUUUGCUUACCCUUUUGUUCUCAAGGCAUGCGGUGAUUUGUUGCUUGUCGAAAUUGGGAGGAGAGUUCACUGUGAAAUAGUGGUUUGUGGGUUUGAAUCGGAUGUUUAUGUGGGUAAUUCUCUUAUGGCGAUGUAUUCCAAGUUUGGAGAUAUGGGAACGGUAAGGGAUGUGUUUGAUAGAAUGCCUGAGCGAGAUUUAACUUCAUGGAACACGUUGAUUUCUGGUUAUGUAAAGAAUGGAGACCCUAGAGAGGCUUUAUUGGUUUUUCAUUUAAUGGGAACACAGGGAAUAACUGCUGAUUGCACUACUUUGCUUGGUCUCCUCUCUGCUUCUACCAAUUUAAUGGCAGUGAAACAGGGGAAAGCAAUUCAUUGUUAUGCAGUUCGAAAUGGUCUUGCAUAUUGUAACAUUUAUUUGAUCAACUCUCUUAUUGAAAUUUAUUGUGUCUGUAAUUCUAUGAUGUAUGCAAGGCUAAUUUUUGAGGAGGUGACAUGGAAAGAUACUGUAUCAUGGAAUUCUAUGAUUUCAGGUUACUCACGGAGUGGAGAUGCUUUUGAAAGCCUCAGACUUUUCUGUCAGAUGGUUUUGAAUGGCAAGGAGCCCGAUCAAGUCACUCUUAUUGCAGUGCUUGGAGCUUGUGAUCAAAUUGCAGCCUUGCAGUUUGGCAUGUCUGUUCACUCACUUCUCUUUAAGAAAGGGUUUGAUGCAAACGCUAUGGUGGGAACUGCCCUCAUAAACAUGUAUUCUAAAUGUGGAAAUCUGGAGUGUUCACGUCAUGUUUUUGAUGAGAUACCUAACAAAAAUUUGUUUUCAUGGAGUGCAAUGGUUGCAGGAUAUGGGUCUCAUGGAAUGGGAAGGGAGGCAAUUUCUAUUUUCCAUAAAAUGACGGAAAACAGCAUCAUUCCUGAUGAGGGUGUUUUUACGUCAAUUUUGUCAGCAUGUAGCCAUGCAGGAUUAGUUGAUGAGGGUAAAGAUAUUUUCUAUAGAAUGACAAAAGAGUACAGUGUGAGGCAUUGUCUUGCUCAUUAUUCCUGUAUGGUGGAUCUUCUUAGCCGAGCAGGACAAUUAGAUGAAGCAUAUGAGUUCAUCAAAACUAUGGAAGUUAGACCAACAGGCGAUAUAUGGGCUGCACUGCUCUCUGCCUGUUUGCUCCAUCGAAAUGUAAAGCUAGCAGAGAUUUCAGCACAGAAAGCUUUUGAGAUGAACCCAGAAAAGGUGGGUAGCUACAUUUGCCUUUCCAACAUGUAUGCUGCAGAAAAACGAUGGGAUGAUGUAGAAAGGGUAAGAGCCUUGGUAAGGAGAAAUAGAUUAAAAAAGCCACCUGGAUGCAGCUUUAUUGAGUUAGAUAAAGUGAUUCAUUGGUUCUUAGUCGGUGACAGAUCACACCAACAAGCAGAGGAUAUAUAUGCCAAGCUGGAGGACUUGAGAAAGCUGCUCAAGGAGGCUGGAUACAAGCCUGAUACAAGUUCAGUGUUCUAUGAUGCUGAAGAUGAAGUAAAGGAGAAGAUGCUCUGGGAUCACAGCGAAAGAUUGGCCAUUGCUUUUGCUCUUAUUAAUACAAGCCCAGGGACCGUAAUCAGGAUUAUCAAGAAUCUUCGCACAUGUGGGGAUUGUCACAUUGUCACAAAACUCAUUUCUAAGCUCAUGGGUCGAGAGAUUAUUAUCCGGGACAUACGUAGGUUCCACCACUUUAAAAAUGGAUUGUGCUCUUGUGGUGAUUAUUGGUGAGUAGAUACCAAACAAAGAAUCGUACCCACUUUCCUAAAUCAGGAAAUGCACAUUAUUUUAUUGGAGAAGCUAUUUAUCUAACAUUAUUCUGGAAUAGCAUGGAGGAACAUUUUAUUAGCAUUGCAGAUUUAGCAACUUUAUUUGAAUCUUCGCGAGCUGCAUUUUUCUCCUGCCUGAUCUGGCUGUGGCCUUGCUCGAAUUAUAUAGGACUGAUCUAGUAUCUUGAUUAUCAUAUUGUCCAACAAAUCAGCAAGACAAUAGCAAUGCUCAUGCCUGCUUCUUUAUCAAAUGAGCAUGGUUUCUUUAGUUCCAUUGCUUCCAGAUUUUCCUCAACUGGAGUCUGGUUUGAGCUCUCCAAUGGAGCAUGGUGAUUAUUAUACUUCUCUGGUUCUGGAUAAUCCUCAGUGGUGAUAAUGGAAAAUGGAAUAGGAAUUAGAUACUUCACAAUUGAAGCACUUCUUUAAAUUUAAAUAUUAUGCAUAAGAUGCUUACCGAUCAGCUUGCAUUUUUUUUCAAAAAUAUCAUGAAUAUCUGGAAAAUUUUCACUCAAAGUGGAUUAUUUGAUGAAGUGAUGGUAUGCAACUCCAGACAUUCUAUGUUUUGGUGGCCAUCUUUAUUGAGCAACAUUUGGCCUGGAACUCAAGAGAAUAUAAGCUGUAGUGCUGUACAAUUGUAUCUUGAAAAUGCAUGUUUGCCUGCAACAACGGUGUUCUCUCUCCAACAUGCAAUACUAGUGUACAGAAUGUUAAUCAACCUUGAUUUUCAGAGAAGUAGAAAAAGGUAAGCUGUAGAAUCCAGCAGUAUGCUCCGCAGCAUCACUAUCAGCUUCGUACCACCACUGAUUCCAGAGACCUGUAUUGGCUAUGAAGUAUGUGGUGUUUCACUGUAUAAGAUUCAAGAUAGGCACAAACCUGCAAUAUUGGAUGAUUAAGACUUGCCAAUUUUAUUUUCCAGCCCAAAAAAGCUCUCUUGGCUUUGUCAAGCAUCUGUCACCACGAGGAAAUAGCUUGUUAGACUAUGAAGUCAAGAAGAACUUCACUCUUUUGGCAAGAUAUGUCCUUUUGGUCCAAAGAUCUUUGUUGAUUGAGGUGUAUCAUUAUAUUUCUAGCAUCAUCUGGCACAUCCCAUUAUGGGUGGUGUAAAUUUGUUGCAACCUAUUCAGGGUUCAGGGUGCUUUUGGCUUUCAAUUUUUCCCAUUCCAAGCUCUGUCAGAGAGUAUAUUAUUAAGCUGUGUAGGGUGUUUUUAUGGGGUGAUAGGAAGAAACCCUUGGUGGCCUGGAAGGAUGUGUGUUUACCAAAAGAAGAAGGGGGAUUGGGAGUUUUUGAUCUCAAAACAUGGAAUGAAGCUAUCCUCAUAAAAGCUUUGUGGAAUAUUCAUGAUAAAAAAGAUUCUUUAUGGGUGAAAUGGAUAAAUCAGAAUUAUCUGAGAGGCUGUAACAUUUGGGAGGCUUCUUCUAAACAUGAGGACUCUCCUUUGUUUAAGAUGAUCAUUGAACUUAAGAAUAACGUACUGCUGCAUUGCAGAGACCAACGAGAAGCUGAUUAUCAGGAAAUGGGUGAUUGGUGACAAAAUCUCAUGUUCAGAAGUCUAUCAUUUCUGGGGAAGGAAAGGAAGUAAGGUUCCGUGGUAUAAUGUUGUAUGGUUGAAUGGUUGCAUUCCUAUACACUCCUUUAUUCUUUGGCUUAGUGCAAAAGGUAGACUAGCUACUACUAACAAUAUACAUGUGGAAGGGAUUAACAUUCUUGUUGCUUUUGUAAUAGGGGUGAGGAAACAAUAGAUCAUCUCUUUUUUAAAUGUACUUUUACAGCUACAGUUUGGGGUCACCUGAGGAGUUGGUUGGGCAUCACAAGAGCUUUAACCACACUCAAGGCUUCUCUAAAAUGGAUGCAUAAAGAAGCUAGAGGUAUGGGAGUUCAAUCAGUGGCAAAAAAAGUUUGUUUUGCUGCCACAGUGUAUUAUUUAUGGCACUUCAGAAACAAGAAGAUAUUUGAAGGUAAGGUCACUCCUUUAGAAGCCAUCGUUCGAGUCAUUCAAAUGCAUACAUACAAAAGUGUAUUCGGCAGCUUUCCCAGGUUUGUAAAAACCUGGGAACCGGCAGGAUGUGAGUGAUCUUUUCCUGAUUACAGGCAUGGUUUUGAGUUGUAGUGUUAGGAUUCUUCUGGAGUUGGCCUACUAUAAGGGCUAGAGUAAUAGUUUUCAGUUCCAGGUGUCUCCAGUGGUUUCCCUUGGUUCUGUUAUGUAGUUGCAGGGUUGCAUUUGAUGACACAUCCUUCUCAUUGAUUCAGUUUUGAUGUUGAUGAUUGACUAUUUGUCUGAGUUUUAUGUUCAUAUGAUAGUGAUUCGUCGAGCCUGCUUUAUCUCUGUGAUUCCCUGCUUGCCUGAACUAUUGAUUAUUUUGAUAGUUUAUUUGUUUGAGUUAUGUUGAUCUGAAAUGACUUUUCCAGGCUACUAUAUCUCUGGGGUUGUGAAGUAGGGUUCUUAAGAUCCUAAUCUCAGGAUUGAUACAAUGUAUUUGCAUGUCUGAACUGUACUACCCUCUGUUGAUGAUGCUGUAUUGGGCUGCAGACUUAAUCUGGUAGUGCUGGAAGAUGUAUCUGGUGUGAUUCAUUACUGGUGGCUCAAGUUCAAUCUGGAAGAUCUGCUUUGAGCUGUUGGACUUCUGGUGUGAGCAGUGAGGGUCAGAUUGUAAGAUGAAGUGUUGGGGUCUUAUUCUGCGUGAGGUGCUGCUAUUGGAUACUUGGUUGAAGGGACUUGUUCUCUUCUGGAUUGGAUUCUGAUCUACAGUUGGUUGUUAGCUCAGCUGGAGCUAACUUUGUUUGUAUCUAGUUAUUUGAGAAAAAAAAAAAAAAAAUCCUGAUUUCCCCUUUCUAUCAUCCCAUUUUCAUUUCUUUUCUUUUUCCUUCUUAUCUCUCAAUGGGUUUUCGGACUAUUCUGAGGUGGUUGGAGUUUCUUGAAUUCUUGAAAUAUCCUAUUGGAGUUCUCUCUUAUGGCUUAUCCUGGCUUUGAUUGGUUUUCUUCUGGUACAUCUACUGGAGAUGGAAUGAUGCAGAUUUUAUGUUUGGAUGGUUUCUCCAUAUUGGUUUCUUGUUAUGAUUUUCUUUGGAAGGUGGCUUGAACCUCUGUCAUGGUUGUGCUGGUGGUGGUUUGAGCUUCCAAGUGGCUACUUCUCCUCGGUAUCAUCAUGGCUUUCUUUUGGAGGUGGUUCGAGCUGCUAGUCUUCAUCUUGGGCCUAGUCUUCUUUCUCAUUGUGGAUGGUGGACUGGCCAAGUUGAUGACCCUCUUCAAGCUUUAGGGCUGAUCAAUGAAUUUGUGCUACUCUUCGUCGUAUGGCUUUGCUUGUUGGAGGGUGAUGCACCUUGAAUCCUCCUGAAUUGGAUAUCCAUCAUUUUUAUGGCUUUCUGUCUGGUAAUGGCUUGAGUUCUAAGAUAUUUUAUUAUUGCAUUAUUCGAUUUUUGGUUUUUGGUUUAUUUUUGGUUAGUUUUGAUGGCUUUUUGCUCCUGGGAAUGCCCAUGUUUUGGUAUAAUAGUGUAUAUCUUGUCGAUGGAAGUUUUGCUUCCUUCCUCUCGGGUAUGCCAGAGUUUCUGUACAUAUCCAUUUGAUCAAUAUAAUUUAUCAUUUACUAAUCAAAAAAAAAAAAAAAAAGAUUUGAAUGGUCCAUUGGAUCAAUUAUUUGUUUCAGGUAUUUUUUAUUUUUU